rnacentral:tRNA from 4 species
CGGGGCGUAGCGCAGCCUGGUAGCGCAUCUGCUUUGGGAGCAGAGGGUCGCAUGUUCGAAUCAUGUCGCCCCGACCA